GGUGAGAUGGCCGAGCGGUCUAAGGCGCCAGACUAAGGAGACCCAAUCCGGUGGGAAUUGAACGUCGCUUACGUAAUCUGGUCCGAAAGGGCGCGGGUUCGAAUCCCGCUCUCAUCA
rnacentral:tRNA from 1 species